CUGGAACACCUCCUUUCUGGAGAGGAUCCAAAGUAAAGGUUUUUGUUUUUGUACUGCUGUUGUUGUUUAUUCAAGAUAUGAUUCCGUAUUAAGACGGAAGAGAGAAAGUAAGAAGCCGGGUCUAAUGGAACAGACUAGGUUGAACUUAGUCCUAUAGCUCAGUUGGUUAGAGCGCUACACUGAUAACGUAGAGGUCGGCAGUUCAACUCUGCCUGGGACUACGAAUCUUGAGAUUCGGGGGAUUAGCUCAGCUGGCUAGAGCAUCUGCCUUGCACGCAGAGGGUCAACGGUUCGAAUCUGUUAUUCUCCACUCCAUCAGAAACGUAAGAUACGAAGAUGACCGAUCUAUGACAUAUUGUACAAGCAAACAGUAAUUUUAGUAGUAAAGAGCUGAAAGUAUAUAUCAUCCCGCUGGCACGCAAGUGUGAGCGAAUGGAUAAGGAAAGUAAAGAAGGGCGCAUGGUGAAUGCCU
rnacentral:tRNA from 1 species